UAGGGAAUCUUCGGCAAUGGGGGGAACCCUGACCGAGCAACGCCGCGUGAGUGAAGAAGGUUUUCGGAUCGUAAAGCUCUGUUGUUAAGGAAGAACGAGUGUGAGAAUGGAAAGUUCAUGCUGUGACGGUACUUAACCAGAAAGGGACGGCUAACUACGUGCCAGCAGCCGCGGUAAUACGUAGGUGGCAAGCGUUGUCCGGAAUUAUUGGGCGUAAAGCGCGCGCAGGUGGUUUAGAAAGUCUGAUGUGAAAGCCCACGGCUCAACCGUGGAGGGUCAUUGGAAACUAAUAAACGUGAGUGCAGGAGAGAAAAGUGGAAUUCCUAGUGUAGCGGUGAAAUGCGUAGAGAUUAGGAGGAACACCGGUGGCGAAGGCGGCUUUUUGGCCUGCAACUGACACUGAGGAGCGAACGCGUGGGGAGCAAACAGG
rnacentral:rRNA from 1 species